rnacentral:rRNA from 1 species
GACGAACGCUGGCGGCGUGCUUAACACAUGCAAGUCGAACGGAAAGGCCCUGCUUUUGUUGGGUGCUCGAGUGGCGAACGGGUGAGUAACACGUGAGUAACCUGCCCUUGACUUUGGGAUAACUUCAGGAAACUGGGGCUAAUACCGGAUAGGAGCUCCUGCUGCAUGGUGGGGGUUGGAAAGUUUCGGCGGUUGGGGAUGGACUCGCGGCUUAUCAGCUUGUUGGUGGGGUAGUGGCUUACCAAGGGUUUGACGGGUAGCCGGCCUGAGAGGGUGACCGGCCACAUUGGGACUGAGAUACGGCCCAGACUCCUACGGGAGGCAGCAGUGGGGAAUAUUGCACAAUGGGCGGAAGCCUGAUGCAGCAACGCCGCGUGCGGGAUGACGGCCUUCGGGUUGUAAACCGCUUUCGACGGUGACGAAGAGUGAGUGACGGUAAUGGGUAAAGAAGCACCGGCUAACUACGUG